GAUGAACGCUGGCGGCGUGCCUAAUACAUGCAAGUCGAGCGAACGGACGAGAAGCUUGCUUCUCUGAUGUUAGCGGCGGACGGGUGAGUAACACGUGGAUAACCUACCUAUAAGACUGGGAUAACUUCGGGAAACCGGAGCUAAUACCGGAUAAUAUUUUGAACCGCAUGGUUCAAUAGUGAAAGACGGUCUUGCUGUCACUUAUAGAUGGAUCCGCGCUGCAUUAGCUAGUUGGUAAGGUAACGGCUUACCAAGGCAACGAUGCAUAGCCGACCUGAGAGGGUGAUCGGCCACGCUGGAACUGAGACACGGUCCAGACUCCUACGGGAGGCAGCAGUAGGGAAUCUUCCGCAAUGGGCGAAAGCCUGACGGAGCAACGCCGCGUGAGUGAUGAGGGUCUUCGGAUCGUAAAACUCUGUUAUUAGGGAAGAACAUAUGUGUAAGUAACUGUGCACAUCUUGACGGUACCUAAUCAGAAAGCCACGGCUAACUACGUG
rnacentral:rRNA from 1 species